AAAAAAAAAAAAAAGAAAGAAAAGCCAGCCCUUGUGAUUGUGAAGAAUCUUUGCGUUUCUGGUUAAAAACUCCGUUAGUAGUCAAUUAAUAAUGAAAAUAAACGCAGCGUAAAUUUACGAGAUUUCGCCAAAUUUCGGGCUGAUUCUGCGCCCUUUUCAACUCUCGCCUCUCUACCAUUAUGCUUCCUUACCUUUCUCCCAUCGUCUGCCUCCAAAAUCCUCUCUUUCUGCUUUCUCUGCUGCCGUCAUCAUCAUAUCAAUGAUUAGAUUGGGUGGUCAGGGCUCGAGAUUGUUGUAGUUGGUUUUAGCAAUUAUGACCAAUUCCUUGCGAAAACCUUGAUUUGGCAGGGCCACAUUUUUAGCCUAUUUCUUGUUUGGACUACUCAUAUGUGGCUCGGAGAUUGGCGGGUUUCUUAAUUCUCUGAUAAGACGAUCUCUUUGUAGAGCAUCCAGGAGUAAUUCUUCUGUGUACUUCUAUUCUUUCAACAGAA
rnacentral:misc_RNA from 1 species